AUGCUCUGGCCUGAGGAGACACUUCAGAAUGACCUUGAGUCGCUGAUGGCCCGCUUGAACACGAUCCCUGGUCGAGUGCAGGAGUGGAAGAAGUCCUCGGCUCGGUGUGGUGCAGAUGUCGCUCUGUGUCUGGCCCGAGUCCACUGCAAAGAUGCACGAGAGGAGAAGCUGGCGGCCCUUCGGGUGGCCAAUACCAAGAAGCACGACUUCAGGUCCUUUAUGGAGACUUUCCUUGCAGCUGCCACUCGGAUCGCCGACGGAAUUGACCUUGAUGAAUUUGUUGCACCUUCCAGCCCUCCACAGGAGGGGUAA
rnacentral:rRNA from 1 species